AUACGGAGGGGACUAGCGUUGUUCGGAAUUACUGGGCGUAAAGAGUUCGUAGGCGGACUGAUAAGUAAGAGGUGAAAACCCAGGGCUCAACCCUGGAACUGCCUUUUAAACUGUCAGUCUAGAGACCGGAAGAGGUUAGGGGAAUACCUAGUGUAGAGGUGAAAUUCGUAGAUAUUAGGUGGAACACCAGUGGCGAAGGCGCCUAACUGGUCCGGUACUGACGCUGAGGAACGAAAGCGUGGGGAGCAAACAGGAUUAGAAACCCUAGUAGUCC
rnacentral:rRNA from 1 species